UCAUGAAAACAUCAUCCCACCGGUUUCCGGUGGCGAUGGACUUGGGUGUUGCCGUCCGGCUCGCCUCAAAUGUGUUAGUGGUCUGACCCUGAAUCUGGCGUAAUAAGUUUCGCUGGCCUAGGACGAAGACCGCUCAUAACCCGUCUUCUGACAUCUUUGCUUCUGACCUCAAAUCAGGUAGGACUACCCGCUGAACUUAA
rnacentral:misc_RNA from 1 species